UACGUAGGGGGCAAGCGUUGUCCGGAAUCACUGGGCGUAAAGCGCGCGCAGGCGGUCAUCUACGUCUGGGGUGAAAGCCCGGAGCUCAACUCCGGGAUUGCCUUGGAUACGGGAUGACUUGAGGAUCGGAGAGGCAAGGGGAAUUCCACGUGUAGCGGUGAAAUGCGUAGAGAUGUGGAGGAACACCUGUGGCGAAGGCGCCUUGCUGGCCGAUUUCUGACGCUGAGGCGCGAAAGCGUGGGGAGCGAACAGG
rnacentral:rRNA from 1 species